rnacentral:rRNA from 1 species
GCAGCACAGAGAAGCUUGCUUCUUGGGUGGCGAGUGGCGAACGGGUGAGUAACAUAUCGGAACGUACCGAGUAAUGGGGGAUAACUAAUCGAAAGAUUAGCUAAUACCGCAUAUUCUCUGAGGAGGAAAGCAGGGGACCUUCGGGCCUUGCGUUAUUCGAGCGGCCGAUAUCUGAUUAGCUAGUUGGUGGGGUAAAGGCCUACCAAGGCGACGAUCAGUAGCGGGUCUGAGAGGAUGAUCCGCCACACUGGGACUGAGACACGGCCCAGACUCCUACGGGAGGCAGCAGUGGGGAAUUUUGGACAAUGGGCGCAAGCCUGAUCCAGCCAUGCCGCGUGUCUGAAGAAGGCCUUCGGGUUGUAAAGGACUUUUGUCAGGGAAGAAAAGGCUGUYGCUAAUACCGACAGUUGAUGACGGUACCUGAAGAAUAAGCACCGGCUAACUACGUGCCAGCAGCCGCGGUAAUACGUAGGGUGCGAGCGUUAAUCGGAAUUACUGGGCGUAAAGCGAGCGCAGACGGUUACUUAAGCAGGAUGUGAAAUCCCCGGGCUCAACCUGGGAACUGCGUUCUGAACUGGGUGACUAGAGUGUGUCAGAGGGAGGUAGAAUUCCACGUGUAGCAGUGAAAUGCGUAGAGAUGUGGAGGAAUACCGAUGGCGAAGGCAGCCUCCUGGGAUAACACUGACGUUCAUGCUCGAAAGCGUGGGUAGCAAAC